rnacentral:rRNA from 1 species
GGUUAAGCGACUAAGCGUACACGGUGGAUGCCCUGGCAGUCAGAGGCGAUGAAGGACGUGCUAAUCUGCGAAAAGCGUCGGUAAGGUGAUAUGAACCGUUACAGCCGGCGAUGUCCGAAUGGGGAAACCCAGUGCAAUUCGUUGCACUAUCGUUUGAUGAAUACAUAGUCAAACGAGGCGAACCGGGGGAACUGAAACAUCUAAGUACCCCGAGGAAAAGAAAUCAACCGAGAUUCCCCCAGUAGCGGCGAGCGAACGGGGAGCAGCCCGGAGUCUGAAUCAGCUUGUGUGUUAGUGGAAGCGUCUGGAAAGUCGCAGGGUACAGGGUGAUACUCCCGUACACUAAAACGCACAGGUUGUGAACUCGAAGAGUAGGGCGGGACACGUGGUAUCCUGUCUGAAUAUGGGGGGACCAUCCUCCAAGGCUAAAUACUCCUGACUGACCGAUAGUGAACCAGUACCGUGAGGGAAAGGCGAAAAGAACCCCGGCGAGGGGAGUGAAAAAGAACCUGAAACCGUGUACGUACAAGCAGUAGGAGCCCACUAGUUGGGUGACUGCGUACCUUUUGUAUAAUGGGUCAGCGACUUAUAUUCUGUAGCAAGGUUAACCGUAUAGGGGAGCCGCAGGGAAACCGAGUCUUAACUGGGCGUUAAGUUGCAGGGUAUAGACCCGAAACCCGGUGAUCUAGCCAUGGGCAGGUUGAAGGUUGGGUAACACUAACUGGAGGACCGAACCGACUAAUGUUGAAAAAUUAGCGGAUGACUUGUGGCUGGGGGUGAAAGGCCAAUCAAACCGGGAGAUAGCUGGUUCUCCCCGAAAGCUAUUUAGGUAGCGCCUCGUGAAUUCAUCUUCGGGGGUAGAGCACUGUUUCGGCUAGGGGGUCAUCCCGACUUACCAACCCGAUGCAAACUACGAAUACCGAAGAAUGUUAUCACGGGAGACACACGGCGGGUGCUAACGUCCGUCGUGAAGAGGGAAACAACCCAGACCGCCAGCUAAGGUCCCAAAGUCAUGGUUAAGUGGGAAACGAUGUGGGAAGGCCCAGACAGCCAGGAUGUUGGCUUAGAAGCAGCCAUCAUUUAAAGAAAGCGUAAUAGCUCACUGGUCGAGUCGGCCUGCGCGGAAGAUGUAACGGGGCUAAACCAUGCACCGAAGCUGCGGCAGCGACACUAUGUGUUGUUGGGUAGGGGAGCGUUCUGUAAGCCGUUGAAGGUGGCCUGUGAGGGUUGCUGGAGGUAUCAGAAGUGCGAAUGCUGACAUAAGUAACGAUAAUGCGGGUGAAAAACCCGCACGCCGGAAGACCAAGGGUUCCUGUCCAACGUUAAUCGGGGCAGGGUGAGUCGACCCCUAAGGCGAGGCCGAAAGGCGUAGUCGAUGGGAAACAGGUUAAUAUUCCUGUACUCGGUGUUACUGCGAAGGGGGGACGGAGAAGGCUAUGUUGGCCGGGCGACGGUUGUCCCGGUUUAAGCAUGUAGGCGGAUGUUCCAGGUAAAUCCGGAACGUCACUAACGCUGAGGUGUGAUGACGAGGCACUACGGUGCUGAAGUGACAAAUGCCCUGCUUCCAGGAAAAGCCUCUAAGCAUCAGGUAACAUCAAAUCGUACCCCAAACCGACACAGGUGGUCAGGUAGAGAAUACCAAGGCGCUUGAGAGAACUCGGGUGAAGGAACUAGGCAAAAUGGUGCCGUAACUUCGGGAGAAGGCACGCUGAUGGUAGGUGAAGUGACUUGCUCAUGGAGCUGAAAUCAGUCGAAGAUACCAGCUGGCUGCAACUGUUUAUUAAAAACACAGCACUGUGCAAACACGAAAGUGGACGUAUACGGUGUGACGCCUGCCCGGUGCCGGAAGGUUAAUUGAUGGGGUUAUCCUCGCGGAGAAGCUCUUGAUCGAAGCCCCGGUAAACGGCGGCCGUAACUAUAACGGUCCUAAGGUAGCGAAAUUCCUUGUCGGGUAAGUUCCGACCUGCACGAAUGGCGUAAUGAUGGCCAGGCUGUCUCCACCCGAGACUCAGUGAAAUUGAACUCGCUGUGAAGAUGCAGUGUACCCGCGGCAAGACGGAAAGACCCCGUGAACCUUUACUAUAGCUUGACACUGAACACUGGUCCUUGAUGUGUAGGAUAGGUGGGAGGCUUUGAAGUGUGGACGCCAGUCUGCAUGGAGCCAUCCUUGAAAUACCACCCUUUAAUGGCUGGUGUUCUAACGUGGGCCCCUAAUCGGGGUUGCGGACAGUGUCUGGUGGGUAGUUUGACUGGGGCGGUCUCCUCCUAAAGAGUAACGGAGGAGCACGAAGGUCAGCUAAUCCUGGUCGGACAUCAGGAGGUUAGUGCAAUGGCAUAAGCUGGCUUGACUGCGAGCGUGACGGCGCGAGCAGGUGCGAAAGCAGGUCAUAGUGAUCCGGUGGUUCUGAAUGGAAGGGCCAUCGCUCAACGGAUAAAAGGUACUCCGGGGAUAACAGGCUGAUACCGCCCAAGAGUUCAUAUCGACGGCGGUGUUUGGCACCUCGAUGUCGGCUCAUCACAUCCUGGGGCUGAAGUAGGUCCCAAGGGUAUGGCUGUUCGCCAUUUAAAGUGGUACGCGAGCUGGGUUUAGAACGUCGUGAGACAGUUCGGUCCCUAUCUGCCGUGGGCGCUGGAGAAUUGAGGGGGGCUGCUCCUAGUACGAGAGGACCGGAGUGGACGCAUCACUGGUGUUCGGGUUGUCAUGCCAAUGGCAUUGCCCGGUAGCUAAAUGCGGAAGAGAUAAGUGCUGAAAGCAUCUAAGCACGAAACUUGCCCCGAGAUGAGUUCUCCCUGACUCCUUGAGAGUCCUGAAGGAACGUUGAAGACGACGACGUUGAUAGGCCGGGUGUGUAAGCGCAGCGAUGCGUUGAGCUAACCGGUACUAAUGAACCGUGAGGCUUAACCUU